GUGAGGAAUUUUGCGCAAUGGGCGAAAGCCUGACGCAGCAACGCCGCGUGAGUGAUGAAGGCUUUCGGGUCGUAAAGCUCUGUCAAGUGGGAAGAAACUGCAGUAUGCUAAUAUCGUAUUGCAUUGACGGUACCACUGAAGGAAGCACCGGCUAACUCCGUGCCAGCAGCCGCGGUAAUACGGGGGGUGCAAGCGUUAUUCGGAAUCAUUGGGCGUAAAGAGCACGUAGGCGGCCUGGUAAGUCAGAUGUGAAAGCCCGGGGCUUAACCCCGGAAGUGCAUUUGAUACUGUCAGGCUUGAGUAUGGGAGAGGGAAGUGGAAUUCCUGGUGUAGAGGUGAAAUUCGUAGAUAUCAGGAGGAACACCGGUGGCGAAGGCGACUUCCUGGACCAAUACUGACGCUGAGGUGCGAAGGCGUGGGUAGCAAACAGGAUUAGAUACCCUAGUAGUCC
rnacentral:rRNA from 1 species